rnacentral:rRNA from 1 species
UACGUAGGGGGGCUAGCGUUGUCCGGAAUCAUUGGGCGUAAAGAGCGCGUAGGCGGCCAGAUAAGUCCGGUGUGAAAGUCAAAGGCUCAACCUUUGAAUGCCGCUGGAAACUGUCUGGCUAGAGUCCGGGAGGGGCGAGUGGAAUUCCUGGUGUAGCGGUGAAAUGCGCAGAUAUCAGGAGGAACACCAAUGGCGAAGGCAGCUCGCUGGAACGGUACUGACGCUGAGGCGCGAAAGCGUGGGGAGCAAACAGG